GCAAUAAUAAUACUUUUUAUGAUUGUUUUAUUUUUAUUCUGAAUGAAAACGUAAUAUGACGUAUUUCCGGUGAAACAAGCCUCAGAACAUCCGGUCAGGCCGUGUUUCAUAUCCAGGGAUAUAUAGUAUCUAUGAUCAGAUCGAUGCUUUUCAAGAUGGCAGCCCCGCGUGGACUAUCUGACAUGUUUUGUUAAAGAAAAUCAUCUUAAUCUGACUCUUUAAGAGGAAUCUUGUUGGCUGUAUACACUAGGGCUAAAUCACUGGAUGUUAUGCUAUUUUGAACCAUUUAUUACUUAAACAUGAGUAGGAUACACGAUAUUUUGAGUAAAAAAUACAUGACUGGAAAAUAAAACGACUGACACCUUCCAAUUAAAGUUUACCACAUCUUGCCUACAAAAUCUCUAUGAUACAAAAGUAGAGACCUGGUGAAGACGAUGAGAAAUCAGGCGUAAAAAUGGUUCACUACAUGUGAUUGUAACUAUGUUUUUAAUUAGAGUGGAUGUAUUAGUGAUCAUGAUGAUGAAGAUAUUGUACUGAGAGACUUAUGAAUGAUAGUCACAAGUGUGGUAAAAUAGUUUAUUGAUUAUGUGUGUAAUUGUUACUUUUCCUUAGAAUUUUUGAUGCGGAAGAUUAUUCUGGAAAUAUUAGUAUAGUAGGUGCUCCUUUAAUUCUUAAUUUAUUAAUUUAGCAAGGCCAUUAGUAUACAUUCUAUAGUUACCUUAUCUCACUAAGUUUCAAGACAAGAUAAUCUUAGGUUUGUUUAAUUUCAUGUGAAAAGCUAAAUUCAUUAUUCAGGUUGUGAUGAACUGAAACUUUCUUGUUUAAAGCUCUUGUUAAGUUCACUUCAAAUAGCAUUGAAUUUUUUUGUGAACCUGCCUUCAUCAUGCUGGUUAAGGAAGUUAUGUUAUGGAACUAAGCUUUGUAGGACUAUGUGUGACAAGAUACCUUCGAAAGAUCUGCUUCACUACAUGGAACCCGAGAGUUCACUAAUGUUGGAGAUUUUGGGAAAUUAAUUUCUCAGUAAUGUGUCUUAAGUUACAAAACAUGAAGUGUCUUACUUGUGGAACAUUGGUAGACUAUGAUAAAGAAAACAAUUAUAAUCUUUUUUUCUUUUAAUA
rnacentral:lncRNA from 1 species